rnacentral:rRNA from 1 species
GAUGAACGCUGGCGGCGUGCCUAACACAUGCAAGUCGAGCGAUUCUCUUCGGAGAAGAGCGGCGGACGGGUGAGUAACGCGUGGGUAACCUGCCCUGUACACACGGAUAACAUACCGAAAGGUAUGCUAAUACGAGAUAAUAUACUUUUAUCGCAUGGUAGAAGUAUCAAAGCUUUUGCGGUACAGGAUGGACCCGCGUCUGAUUAGCUAGUUGGUAAGGUAACGGCUUACCAAGGCGACGAUCAGUAGCCGACCUAAGAGGGUGAUCGGCCACAUUGGAACUGAGACACGGUCCAAACUCCUACGGGAGGCAGCAGUGGGGAAUAUUGCACAAUGGGCGAAAGCCUGAUGCAGCAACGCCGCGUGAGCGAUGAAGGCCUUCGGGUCGUAAGCUCUGUCUCAAGAAGAUAAUGACGGUACUUGAGGAGGAAGCCCGGCUAACUAACGUG